rnacentral:rRNA from 1 species
AGGAUGAACGCUGGCGGCGUGCCUAACACAUGCAAGUCGAACGUCCUGUCUCGCAAGAGGCAGGGAGUGGCGGACGGGUGAGUACCACGUGGGUCAUCUACCGUGAGGUGAGGAAUACCGGCGAGAAAUCGCCGACAAGACCGCAUAGGCUCGAUGCAAGUCGAGCAAAGCUCUUUCGAGAGAGGGAGCGCCACACGAGGAGCCUGCGCCCGAUUAGCUAGCUGGUGGAGUAACGGUUCACCAGGGCGACGAUCGGUAGCUGGUCUGAGAGGACGAUCAGCCACACUGGGAUUGAGAACGGCCCAGACUCCUACGGGGGGCAGCAGUGAGGAAUUUCGUCAAUGGGGGCAACCCUGAACGAGCAACGCCGCGUGCAGGAAGAAGGUUUUCGGAUCGUAAACUGCUUUUCUCGGGAAGAGAACGGACGGUACCCGAGGAAUCAGCCCGGCUAACUACGUGCCAGCAGCCGCGGU